GUGGGGAAUCUUGCGCAAUGGGCGAAAGCCUGACGCAGCCAUGCCGCGUGAAUGAUGAAGGUCUUAGGCUUGUAAAAUUCUUUCACCGGGGACGAUAAUGACGGUACCCGGAGAAGAAGCACCGGCUAACUUCGUGCCAGCAGCCGCGGUAAUACGAAGGGGGCUAGCGUUGCUCGGAAUUACUGGGCGUAAAGGGCGCGUAGGCGGAUCGUUAAGUCAUGGGUGAAAUCCCAGAGCUCAACUCUGGAACUGCCCUUGAUACUGGCGAUCUUGAGUGUGAGAGAGGUAUGUGGAACUCCUAGUGUAGAGGUGAAAUUCGUAGAUAUUCGGAAGAACACCAGUGGCGAAGGCGACAUACUGGCUCAUUACUGACGCUGAGGCGCGAAAGCGUGGGGAGCAAACAGGAUUAGAAACCCCAGUAGUCC
rnacentral:rRNA from 1 species